rnacentral:tRNA from 1 species
GCAGCCGUGGCCUACUGGUUAGCGCUUCGGACUUGUAACCGGAGGGUUGCUGGUUCGAACCGAGCGCCACUGACUGCG